rnacentral:tRNA from 1 species
GGGUCAGUAGUUCAGUUGGGAGAACGCUUGGCUUGCAACCAAGAUGUCGUGGGUUCGAAUCCCACCUGUAUCCACCA